rnacentral:lncRNA from 1 species
GUUGACUGUUUUGUAAGAGUUGAUAACUAUCAGAAUUCAGUAUACAUACAAAAGAAAUCGUAUGAUCCCUUUACACAAGCUUCAAGUAUAACCUUCCUGGAACCAUCAAUCUUCGAUUAUAUGUCUGUCGAUACCGAAACUGCGGUAGAUGGUGUCAAUCAGAGAGGUUAAGUAUCUGUUAACUGUAUUUCAGAUUAAUAAUA